UAAACCACAGAAACUGGGGAGUACAAUACACAAAUAUUUAAACAUUACGAAUUUAUCAUUACAUAAAAUAAAACAUUAUCUAACAUCAUUUGAAGAACUCCCGUAUUUAUCGUUCGAGUCUAACGUCAUCUUUAUUUUUUUGAACGCGCUCUUUGAUUCUCCCGAUCCAAGUGCGUCAAGUCGUUGAAGCAUACCAGUGUCAUUUAACUCGUUCGCAUUGCCAACCCAAUUGUACAUCACACUUAUUUCUUCCCACUCCGGUUCUCCAAUUGUGCGAUAAGCUGAGGCGAAGGGUUUCGUCUGACAUUGAUAAAUAAUAAAAUAAAACACCAUUUAGUGGGUUUGUAUUAUGACCCCAAUUCAUGAAAAUAAAUUACAAAGCUGAAAAAAUAUAAUGUUUAAAAACGUUUUGCACCUACCUUCACUAUAGGAUUCCACGUUUGAUCGGUAGCAUAAACCGUAUUCGUUUCCAAACAGUACUCGACUCCAGGGCAUUCUAG
rnacentral:lncRNA from 1 species